GAUGAACGCUGGCGGCGUGCCUAAUACAUGCAAGUCGAGCGAACGGACGAGAAGCUUGCUUCUCUGAUGUUAGCGGCGGACGGGUGAGUAACACGUGGAUAACCUACCUAUAAGACUGGGAUAACUUCGGGAAACCGGAGCUAAUACCGGAUAAUAUUUUGAACCGCAUGGUUCAAAAGUGAAAGACGGUCUUGCUGUCACUUAUAGAUGGAUCCGCGCUGCAUUAGCUAGUUGGUAAGGUAACGGCUUACCAAGGCAACGAUGCAUAGCCGACCUGAGAGGGUGAUCGGCCACACGGGAAGUGAGACACGGUCCAGACUCCUACGGGAGGCAGCAGUAGAGAAUCUUCCGCGAUGGGCGAAUGCCUGACGGAGCAACGCCGCGUGAGUGAUGAAGGUCUUCGGAUCGUAAAACUCUGUUAUUAGGGAAGAACAUAUGUGUAAGUAACUGUGCACAUCUUGACGGUACCUAAUCAGAAAGCCACGGCUAACUACGUG
rnacentral:rRNA from 1 species